rnacentral:rRNA from 1 species
CCUACGGGCGGCAGCAGUGGGGAAUAUUGCACAAUGGGGGAAACCCUGAUGCAGCGACGCCGCGUGAGUGAAGAAGUAUUUCGGUACGUAAAGCUCUAUCAGCAGGGAAGAAAAUGACGGUACAUGACUAAGAAGCCCCGGCGAACUACGUUCCAGCAGCCGCGGUAAUAAGUAGGGGGCAAAGGUUAUCCGGAGUUACUGGGUGUAAAGGGAGCGUAGACGGCAGCGAAAGUCUGGAGUGAAAUCACAUGGCUUAACCAGGGAACUGCUUUGGAAACUGUGCAGCUGGAGUGCAGGAGGGGUAAGCGGAAUUCCUAGGGUAGCGGUGAAAUGCGUAGAUAUUAGGAAGAACACCAGUGGCGAAGGCGGCUUACUGGACUGUAACUGACGUUGAGGCUCGAAAGCGUGGGGAGCAAACAGGAUUAGAUACCCGUGUAGUC